UUCACGAAAAAACGUCGAAAUUUCAACCCGCACACUGGGCUACUGCCCACACGACGCUAAAUCACUAAUUUCGGUCACUGUUCCACGGUUAGCAUGUCAAUGAAUACUAAUUAACUUUGAAGAUGCCUCUGUGCAGUUGCUUAUUGUUCUCGGAAAAAUUAUGGCUGCCAUCACCGCGGACCAGAAAAUAUGAUGUACCGUACAACGACGUAAGAGGGCAGUGGACUUUUAGUUAGCGUUUCAAAUGUGCCUACUAUCCAUGGUCCUAAUAUUGAACACUACUAUGUCGUGCCUUUGAGCAGGCGACAAAAAGCAACUCACAACAGACAGCAAUCAUUCUACGCGGCUUAUACUCUCGAUCUCUAGCAGCACUGAUAAACAACUUCUUAUGAAGGAACUAUGAGACAGUAUUUCAAGUGCUGAAGCUAUGGAACGUUGAGCUAAAGCAAUAAGGGAACAGUGACUAUGCUGACCAGAUUACGUUGCAGUUCACGCUAAUAGAAACAGAAGAAGAAGAAAAGCCCACAAGUAUUACAGAACACAUAAUAUUUAAAUUAAUAACUGCAGGCAACAAGAAAAGUGAAUUGCUAGUUUAUUCUGCUACACUGUUGAGAGGGGUGUUAAGAUGAGCACAAAAGAUGUGGGGUUUCGAUUAGGGUUGUACCGUGUUUAACAUACUGAGCCCCUCCUGUACAAAGUGUUAAAUUUGUAGCACCGCAACUUCGAUGUGAAGCCGAUCUUAUAUGUUAAUACGCCCAAAUUCUAAUGUUGAUGUAAACUUUUGCGGUUUUCUGACUGACUCCGUAAUAACACAGUGCAAUAUGGUGGAGAUGCUCUGACGUGCGCGGGUAGUAUAACAUUGAACGUGUCUCGGAAGGACGACGGCCAGUGAUGGUAUCCACCAUAAGUAUCAAUGCUAAAUUAAUAAUUUUAUUUAUGCCUUUGUGGAAUAAAACAAAUAUCUGCUGACAUGGGUAGCAGUCUGAGUGGCAGGUAUUACCGUAAGUUGAGACGCAGAUUUAAAGGAGGUCAGAUGGGAUACUUAAUCGUGGAC